ensembl:lncRNA
CCUGAAGAAAAUGGAGAUGGCAGCGUAUGGUGGGACUAAAGGGACUGACCAAGAGACUGUGCAGAAGGAGCCAUUGCAGGAAAGCAGCCAGUCUCUGACACGGCCAGUCUCUGACAGAAAAACACAGGCAGAACAAGCAGCUGGAUUGCCAGGGGUGGAUGUUGGGAAAAUCACAACGGCCGCUGUUGGCGAAGAGCUGCGAAAACACCACAUCCCAGUGAUUGCUGUGGUCUCCGCUGUGCUGCUGUCCGUGCUGAUGCUGGCCUGUGUUCCUAUGCUGUGGAUGUGGAAAAAAUAUCUGGCACGCAAGACAGAGCGGACAGCAGCAAGACAAGCUCAUCCUGACACUGACUGGGAGAGAGAUCAAAACAGAGAUGAAGGCAGAGCGGAGCUGGGGGAGGCUGCAAAGGAGGAUGUACUCGCCCAAGGAAAAAUCAUCUCCAGGGCAUUCUCCUGGUCCUUUGAAGCAAAAUUUGCCUACCUGUGCAGCAGAAUCUUCACAGACCCCUCCCUUCAGCCCAUGAAUCGCAGAGCGCUCCAAUUGACCCCAUCUCUUCCUUGAAUACCUG